rnacentral:rRNA from 1 species
UCGACCGCCUGGGGAGUACGGCCGCAAGGUUAAAACUCAAAUGAAUUGACGGGGGCCCGCACAAGCGGUGGAGCAUGUGGUUUAAUUCGAUGCAACGCGAAGAACCUUACCUGGUCUUGACAUCCACGGAAGUUUUCAGAGAUGAGAAUGUGCCUUCGGGAACCGUGAGACAGGUGCUGCAUGGCUGUCGUCAGCUCGUGUUGUGAAAUGUUGGGUUAAGUCCCGCAACGAGCGCAACCCUUAUCCUUUGUUGCCAGCGGUCCGGCCGGGAACUCAAAGGAGACUGCCAGUGAUAAACUGGAGGAAGGUGGGGAUGACGUCAAGUCAUCAUGGCCCUUACGACCAGGGCUACACACGUGCUACAAUGGCGCAUACAAAGAGAAGCGAACUCGCGAGAGCAAGCGGACCUCAUAAAGUGCGUCGUAGUCCGGAUUGGAGUCUGCAACUCGACUCCAUGAAGUCGGAAUCGCUAGUAAUCGUGGAUCAGAAUGCCACGGUGAAUACGUUCCCGGGCCUUGUACACACCGCCCGUCACACCAUGGGAGUGGGUUGCAAAAGAAGUAGGUAGCUUAACCUUCGGGAGGGCGCUUACCACUUUGUGAUUCAUGACUGGGGUGAAGUCGUAACAAGGUAACCGUAGGGGAACCUGCGGUUGGAUCACCUCCUUACCUUAAAGAAGC